GGGGAUGUAGCUCAGUGGGAGAGCACUUGCCUGGAAAGUGCAAGGCCUUCAGUUUCAUCCCCA
rfam:Ictidomys tridecemlineatus contig069719, whole genome shotgun sequence.